CGGCUCUCCUCUCCCUCAGCCUGGAGAUGGUCCCAGAUUGUCAUGAGACAGACCACCUUGCUCCUAGUGGCACACAGGACGUACACAAUGGCUGCGCAUGGAGUUAAUGACAUGAAAGUGCCACACUGACGUCUGCCCGUCCGGAGUAGCUGUUAACCCCGGGCAUUUUAUUGCCCCAUUUGCCAGGUCUCUCAUCUCAGCCGCCUACGAAGGUCAAAUCCUGCAUAUUUACGCCAAACUUGAGAGUUGACCAAGUGCCUUUCCCAUGCAUCUUCCUGUUUCACCCCAAGCCGAAAGGUUUGGAAAACAUGCCACCCUUUUAACCUCGGAGAGACUUCUGCCUGGGAAAAGAAUUAAGUGAAAUAAACUCUUUUGAGGGCCUGUGAUCAACCAGGCACCUCCCCUUUGUCACCCACCUGGUGCUGCUGAGGGAGGUGCUAGGGGCUGGCGGAGGGAUCUAGGGGGCUAGUGGGAACACGGGGCCAGGGUUUCAGUCUGGGAAGAAGGAAAAGCGCUGGAGAUGAUGGGGUGGUGAUGGUUACAUAACGAUGUGAAGAUACUCAAUGCCAGGGAACCGGGCAUUUAAAAACGAUUAGAUGGCCUGUUUCCUCCUAUGCGUAUUUUAACCACAAUUAAAAAAAAAAAAUCGGCUAAACGAGAUGUGUUUGUGAGCCCAGUCUGGCCUGAGGGCUGCCUGAGUGACCACAGGAGACGGGAAACUCUCUGAGAUCGGACCCCACCCACCAGCCACCGUCCUGCCAUCGUCCCCUUGGCUGCCCGAGCAAGAGCGUUUACGAGGAGUUCUUUUCAAAAGGUGCACACCCUCUCAGUCUGAGCAGAGGCUCUUUAACUGCUGGGCAAAAGCCGUGGAUACGGGGCUGUGGUACUUCAGGCAGCUUGGGGUGCUUUGGUCAUUGGCGGGGGGCGGGGGCGGCAAUCCGUGGACACAGCUGCCCGGAGUGACUUAUGUUUCGCAAAGAAGAAAUGUCCUCUUACUGUGGAAGCAAGAAGGAGGCUGGCUUCGGGACCUUCCCAGGCGGCCAGAGCCCGUCCUGCAACAAGAACCCAGGCCACGUUAGUGGCCGCAGAAAGCGCCUCCUCUGCUGGAGGACAUGACGAGGGAGGGGCUCGUCAGGGGUCCGAGCUGAUGGGGACACCGGAUGGCAGGCAGUUACACCCAUUUUACAGAUGAGGCACAGAGGCCCGGGAAAGCCAAGGGGUGGCCUCAAAGUCACCGGCCAGUGAGAGGCAGAGCUGGGUCUCUGGGUUCCUUAACAGAGUCCUUUCCUUCCAGACGUGGGGUGCUUGAGCCUUGGUGGGCUCCCAGUCUCACCAGAGAGGCCAGUGAACUCCACGGCCCCUCCUCCCAGGAGCGUGCUCACACACCCCAUUUUUUGUCACAGGCUGGCCCACAGGGAGCUCGAUAAUAGCGAGGUGACUGCUCAGAUUUCUUUUAAGCCAUGAUUGUGCCAGGUCCCGCAUCACCCAUCUUGGGCAGAACAGGAAGGCAUGCUUGUGGCAGAGAGCCCUGCCCAGCAGACAUCAGCACGCACGGGAGAGGGGCAGGGUCGCGUUUACCCAGCGCCAAUGAUCCCAGGCACAGGGGAAGAAGCAUCUUCGUGUUCAGGGCGCCUUUUGCAGCUCAUUCAGUCAUUGGAAUGAAACUGUCAAGUAGGCAGGCACUGGGACUCUCCAACAGACCAAGAAGCAGAAAUUCCAAGGAGGUGACAAGGCUGUGCAGGGACACAGCUGAGGAGGGGCCAAGCCAGCCAGGACCUUGGGGACUCCAGCGUGCCAGCUCCCUCUACCACCCCGUCCGUGCCCAUACACAUGGGCCUCUGACAGCCAACAGCCAUCACGUUGGUCCCCUGGUUGGUAUGAUACAGAGGAGAGACGUUCCCAAGGGUGACUUGAAAUGGGAAGCUGUCGCUUGCCUUGUAGCUCAGCUCCCCGAGGGGGUGACAAAUAACGGGACCACCUGGGCUCCACUGGCUGGUUGCGAAGGAUGUAAAUAUUUUCCAGGUUGCCGUGCUUGCCUCUGUGCUGUCUUCUUUCCUAAAACGACAACAACAAACCAGGGAGAUGAGUUCUUAAAGGGACCAUACCAGUGAGCAUGGUUUUCUGCGUGAAGUCAUCGGAACACACAAACCUUUAAGACGCUGGGAAGCCCACUCUCUCCUCGAUGUGUAUGGGCUUACAUUAUGAUAGCUGCAUACAAUUCCCCAGCUGCUCUCCAUGAGAAAUAACCUUAGGAGUUCCCACUGUGGCUCAGCGCGUGAAGGAUCCAGCGUCUCUAUGAGGAUGUGGGUUUGAUCCCUGGCCUCGCUGAGUGGAUUGAGGAUCUGGCGUUACCAUCAGUUGUGACACAGGUUGCAGAUGCAGCUUGGACCCAGUGUUGCCAUGGCUGUGGUAUAGGCUGGCAGGUGCACCUCCACCUCAACCCCCAGCCUGGAAACUUCCAUAUGCCACAGGUGCAGCUGUAUGAAUAAAUAACUAAAUAAAUAUAACCUUAGUUUGGAAUUGAUAAACCAUGCUCUCUUUAUCUGGGGGUGUUUCUGAACCUUGAAAAAAUAUGAGAGUUUUAUGUGAAGAAGCAUUUAUGUGUAUUUGUACUGAGAGGGUUCCUAGCUUUCAUGAGCCUCUCAAUGGGGCCCAGGCCCCAAAGAAGUUUAAGAACAAUAGAGGCAAAGGAAGACAGAGUCUGGGGUACUCAGGACUGGGUUCUUUCACCCACUCAACAAAAAGUUAUCAGGCACCUGCUGUAUCUCAGGCUCGGUGCCGGGCACUGAGGUUACACUGCCUGCUCUCACGUGGUCAAGGAGUCAGAGUGACCUAGGAAUCACAAAAGCAAUGUUAUGUCCCAGAUGUGAAGGAGGCCAGAGUGAGACAAAUGCAGGGGGCGUGGAAGGAACCAUCAGGCGGGUGGGGAGGG